AGAUCGACAUCAAUGGUUUUGGUAGGAUUGGGCGAUUGGUCGCCAGAGUCACGCUCCAGAGUGAGGAUGUGGAACUCAUUGCCGUCAAUGAUCCAUUCAUUACCACCGAUUACAUGACAUACAUGUUUAAAUAUGAUACUGUACAUGGGCAAUGGAAGCAUCACGAGAUAAAAGUGAAGGAUUCCAAGACCCUUCUUUUGGGAGAGAAAGAGGUUACUGUCU